rnacentral:rRNA from 1 species
CCUACGGGUGGCAGCAGUGAGGAAUAUUGGUCAAUGGGCGCGAGCCUGAACCAGCCAAGUAGCGUGAAGGAUGACUGCCCUACGGGUUGUAAACUUCUUUUAUAAAGGAAUAAAGUGAGGCACGUGAGCCUUUUUGGAUGUACGUUAUGAAUAAGGAUCGGCUAACUCCGUGCCAGCAGCCGCGGUAAUACGGAGGAACCGAGCGUUAUCCGGAUUUAUUGGGUUUAAAGGGAGCGUAGAUGGGUUGUUAAGUCAGUUGGGAAAGUUUGCGGCUCAACCGUAAAAUUGCAAUUGAUACGGGCAGCCUUGAGUCCCGUUGAGGUAGGCGGCUUUCGUGGUGUAGCGGUGCAAUGCUUCGAUCUCAC